CCUAACUCCAUUCACAUUUUUGGGGCUGCAGCAAGAUUCUUAGACAUGGCUUUCCUAGAGGCUGCCAAUGCUAUUCCACUUUAAUUUCCUAUAAAACAUUCUAUACUACUAU